rnacentral:misc_RNA from 1 species
AACGCAAAUUGCGCUCUUGGGUAGCCCUAGGAGCACGCCUCUCUCAGUAUCGGUUCAAACACCUCUCAGCAGCGUUGAUUUAUUAACGUGUUGGCUGGAAAAUGAGAGUCUGUAGCACUGUCUACAGUCUCUUGAAAUAUAUCGAGUGAGUGAGUGGAGCCAUAUCAGCUUGUCUUCGGACAAUAGCUUGAAUUUGACUCUCUCACAUCAGUGACGUGAAUAUUGACCCUUGUGGUCUUCCUUUUACGUGUAUCUGGUGAGAGAGACUAUAGUUGAAUUCAAGUGAACGAUAAGGAAUUCCCUUCUCAUGGAACGCGAUAGACUUGUCUAUUGCAAUCGACUUAUUUAUAAGUCUGAAUAUUUGAUCUGAGAUGAAGCGAGACAACCCCCUGAAUUUAA